rnacentral:rRNA from 1 species
GACGAACGCUGGCGGCGUGCUUAACACAUGCAAGUCGAACGAGAAUCUACUGAAGGAGGAUUCGUCCAACGGAAGUAGAGGAAAGUGGCGGACGGGUGAGUAACGCGUGAGGAACCUGCCUUGAAGAGGGGACAACAGUUGGAACGACUGCUAAUACCGCAUGAAGCAUAGGGUCGCAUGAUUCUUAUGCCAAAGAUUUAUCGCUUCAAGAUGGCCUCGCGUCUGAUUAGCUAGUUGGCGGGGUAACGGCCCACCAAGGCGACGAUCAGUAGCCGGACUGAGAGGUUGAACGGCCACAUUGGGACUGAGACACGGCCCAGACUCCUACGGGAGGCAGCAGUGGGGAAUAUUGCACAAUGGGGGGAAACCCUGAUGCAGCGACGCCGCGUGGAGGAAGAAGGUCUUCGGAUUGUAAACUCCUGUUGUUGAGGAAGAUAAUGACGGUACUCAACAAGGAAGUGACGGCUAACUACGUGCCAGCAGCCGCGG